CCCAAUGAAUGUCUUUGGCACUAUUUCGUGAAGCUACAGUGCCAUAUAGGAGACUAAGCCAUAUCAGUUUUUACCGAACUUUGAAUUUUGACGGUGGGCCUAUGUGCAAUUUCCAAGCAUCUUAGCAGGGUUUAAAUUCAAACUACCCCACAAAGGCCUACCAUUUCUUAAAGUAAACACCCCAGGGUAUUUCAAAAGGUAUAUUUUGAACCUUAGCGUGGGAUCA